rnacentral:lncRNA from 1 species
AUGAACCACCGCUGGAAGAAAGAAAGAGGAUGUACUACAGGCUAUAGCGCUGCCAGGGAAAGCCGAGGACGCUCCUUCUUUGUCACCAGCAAAGACUCAUUCAGUUCAGUGACAGCCCAGCCAGUCCUACCCUGGUGGCUGGACACUCAGAGUCCUCGCUGCUUCCGUGGCUGCUUUUCCCACUCCUUCGAGGGCUAUGGCUCCAGUCGUGGUCAAGCUACUGACCUGGAUGCUCUGUGUCGUCAUUUGCAAACAUACCUACAUCAGGGCGACAGCAAACGUUACAGGUGGGACAGAGGAGGGCCGAGUGAGACCAGCCUGAGGUCCUGCCUUGCCCACACAAGUGGCUACUUCUUCCAUGCUGGGGAGGAUGAGGUAGGUCUGAUCUGAGUCCUUCACUGGGUGUCACCUGUGCUUUGCAUAUGUGUGUGUGUAUGUGACUGUUUGUUGGUACCUUGAGGAGCCUUUUUUUUUUUUUAGUGAGAAGAUGCACAAAAGGGAUUAUGUGCUUUAAGCUUUAUUUAUUUACUUGUCCUUACUUUUGUCUCCCUGCACUGUCAUAGAAAAGUGAUGUGAACGGAAGGCUUUAAUUAACGUGUCUAUUAUUCUCUAUAACUUCUGGAAUUUUUGCUUUAUGAAAACUGACGCCGUUAUUUGUUAUAUAGACAUCAAUAUCUAUGUUGAGAAUUGCACCUUUGACUGGAACAAAGGGCCAUUCUUCGUACUAACUAAUGUUUUUUGCCGUGAGCCCAGCCUCCUCUACAUUCUUUUCACUGCGCUUCCCUGAUGCGCUUGUUUAUGCCUCUCUGUUGCAUCUUCCUAGGUCGCUCUGUUUCAACUGUACCCCUUGCACGGGGCGCGAGGGGGAUGUUGCUUUUUGAAACAGUUUUGAUUGCAUUCAUUCAUGUACUAGCCCACAUGACAGGGGUAUUUUGUCUUAAUUCUGUCAUAUAAUUUAGUUUUUGGGGCUAUAAAAAAUUCCCUGUAUGAUCUGUUUUAUUCAUUUUGUCUUUUCAUGUGUAUUUCUUCUGAUAAUUAGAAAAAAUUUUCAUUGUUAUUUUUAUUGAGCUAUAACUGACGUAUCAGAUUGUAUGAGUUCUGGAUGUACAACAUGAUGAUUGCUAUAUGUGCUACUGAGUCUUGAUAUCAUUUGGAGGCCACGUCCUGUUCAAUCGUGCUGACGUGUCAUCUGUUCUUCAGUAAAUCUUGUGUGGUGAGCUGAAGAUGCCGCUAAUUUUGCAAACAUGCUCUUGGCAUCUCAUGUUCAGUCCUUGCUUUAGUCAGGACGCUUUGUUUGCAAGUGACAGAGGUGACUCAAGGAGCUGACGGGGUGGCUCCCUGGGCCUCCUGGGGAAGGGCCGUGCCCAGCAGCUCUGUGUGUGUGUGUGUU